rnacentral:misc_RNA from 1 species
GAUGAAGAACGUAGCGAAAUGCGGUAAGUAAUGUGAAUUGCAGAAUUCCGUGAAUCAUCGAAUCUUUGAACGCACAUUGCGCCCCCUGGCAUUCCGGGGGGCAUGCCUGUCCGAGCGUCAUUUCUGCCCUCAAGCACGGCUUGUGUGUUGGGUGUGGUCCCCCCGGGGACCUGCCCGAAAGGCAGCGGCGACGUCCGUCUGGUCCUCGAGCGUAUGGGGCUCUGUCACUCGCUCGGGAAGGACCUGCGGGGGUUGGUCACCACUAUAUUUUACCACGGUUGACCUCGGAUCAGGUAGGAGUUACCCGCUGAACUUAAGCAUAUCAAUAAGCGGAGGA